rnacentral:sRNA from 1 species
AAGGACCUAAAUAUCGUCCCCCAUCAAUUAUUCCAAUUGAUAAUUGAUGGGGGACGAUAUUUAGGUCCUU